UACAGAGGGUGCGAGCGUUAAUCGGAAUUACUGGGCGUAAAGGGUGCGUAGGUGGUUUUGUAAGUAACAUGUGAAGGUCCUGAGCUUAACUUGGGGAUUGCGUGUUAAACUGCAGAGCUAGAGUGUUGUAGAGGAUAGCGGAAUUUCCGGUGUAGCGGUGAAAUGCGUAGAUAUCGGAAGGAACAUCAGUGGCGAAGGCGGCUAUCUGGACAACAACUGACACUGAGGCACGAAAGCGUGGGGAGCAAACAGG
rnacentral:rRNA from 1 species